AGCAAUAUCUGCAGACAUCAGCCCCAUGGCCCUGUGACCAGCUCCAGGCCCCAUGGGACAGUGUAUCUGGAGUUGCUAGCCAUUUUCUGCUCAGAUAUGGGGCGGCCCAGGGCCUGGGCCCGUCCAGCUUGUGGUUAAAGGACCCAGCAGAGGAUGAGACAUUUACCUCCUCCCUGCUCAGAGAGCAGCGUGUUUCCAGGAGGUGAUUCUGCUCUGCUCUUUCCUGCCUUGUCAUGGGCAGUGGCGACCUGGUACAUGACAAGAAGGGGAUGUGGCUGCUUGCGAGUCAGACUUUGUGAUGCCAGUGGACUUGGAGACGGGAAUCAAUGCACACAGUUGGCCUACACUGCUUGGGGGAGUCUGGCCAGCUCCAGGACACCAUGGCCUCAAGUGACCGGCAUAACAGACAUCUGCUCUGAGGGCACCUCUCGUCUUUGCUACCAGAGAACCGCUGGAAGCAUCUUUUAACACCCAGCAGAGUGCCUGGCACAUAGGAGAUGAAGUUCCCUGGAUGAAUGAACAAGCGGUUGUGUCUCUGAGGCCCCGAAAAGGCAAUUACAACAGUCAACGGUAUGUAUCUGUAGUUUGUGUUACUUACUUGUAAAUAAAAUCAGGUCCGGGUGUGACUGAAGGCUGCAUCUGGGGAGCGCAAUGCCAAACCCAGCCAGCGUGAGUGAACGGAAUCUCAGCCUGCCUGCCCUCCAGCCAUUUCCCACUUGGUCCCGUGCUACUGGUGAACAUGUACUUGAAAAAAAUCAUACAUACAUCUUCUCUAAGAACAAACGCUAAUUUUGAGGGGGCAUACCAGGCCAAGACAAUAUUGAGGGGAAAAAAAGUAUUUGUCGUCUUCUCAGGGUCAUGGUUCCACUAUAGAUACAGUUAGUUUAGGUAACUAUUAUUCUCUCUGUCUUCAAGCAAAUAGCCUUUUCCUGUAUGUCUAAGAAGCUGACAGGACAAUUAAAGUCAUUUAUCUCAAGACACAGAAAGUUCAAAGGCGAACCGAUUAUCCCAGGACAUUUCUAGCUACUUCUAAAUAACAUUUUUUCCACCUUAAAAAAAAAAAUUAGUGGGUGCCCUGUUUAUAGGACAAAAUAAAAACUCAUUUUCCAACAUUGACAUGCAAAGUGAUUAAUACCUUUACAUAUCAAAAUUAUUAUACCUUUAUAUACAAAACACAGGUUCUUAAUCUUUCCUCUCUUAUUUUACUUAUUUAUAGAUUUGUUCCAGGAAUAAUUUAAGACAGAUGACAACACAUAAAAUACAGCAAAAUAACACAAAUUUAUAAAUAAAUUAAAAAUGCAAAGGCAAAAGAGGAUAGGGACCAAAAAUAGACUCAGAAAUGAGGCCAAUUAAAAAAUGCCUUGUGUAAGGACUGAUACACUUCCAGGCAGUGCUGCUGUUGUCUAUACAACAGUCCUCCUGCCCUUCUUCCUUCUACAGAGCCCUGACUCUGUUGUGGUAACAAGGGUCCUGUUCUCAGUCCUAGAAGAUGAAUUAUGAUUGACCUAAGAGAGUCAUGGAUCCCUUGCUGGACCGUUAGAAAAGAAUCUCCUUAUUGUCUGAGACGCCUUUAGUGAAAUCUCUUACUUGUGGCUAGGAGCUUUCUCACUGAGGCACGUGCUAUUGUAUUUCGUUUGUCUCUAAGCUUUCUAGCAGUCCACUCUAAGAGGGACAUUUGGUUAGAAAUAACUCAGUAUCCAUAAAACAAACAAAAAGAAACCCAGGCCUGUACCUAAGGAAAGGCGCAAUAUUGCUAAGACUAAGACAAAAUAAAAUAAAGGUCUAAUAGGAUCCACAUAUUCACCCAGUGUGUUUAAAAUCCCACAUGAAAACAACAAUGUAAUAAAGAUACUGUAAUCAGCAAUCCAAGCCAAAUUGGCUUUCUCUUUUGACAUAAUUUAUUAUUCACCUUGAAGUUUCAUUUUCUCCAUGCUCCUUGAGUUAAAAUAUUAUUCUUUGAGCCAAAUGAAAGUGCAUUUCACAAAUUAAUUUGGACAAUGGGUGCAGAAAAGUUGUUCUUAGCAAUCUAACCUUUGGCUUGUGAAUACAGAGCCCUAAGUCUAUGAGUUGGCAGGCAAGUGGGGUGGGUAGGAAAAAGGUCUAGAUGGUUCCCAUGUAUUUUUUUUUUUCUUUAGAAAGAAUACGUUGUAUCUUACUCUGUGUAAUUCUUCAGAAAAAGUGCAGGCGUUCAACACGACAGGGAAAGAUCAUAUCCUAAAAAGGAUUGUUUUCCCCUUUUAAC